AGGUGAAUGCUGCACAGCGUGGAGCAACAACAAGCAACUUGAAGGCAUCGUGGCAAACUGGUGGUUCUCAUCCAUCUCGCUGCGAGCAGGUCGUUGCUUAUGAAGUUGUUUUAGCAUGCUCUGUUGAGCCAUACACUUACCUACAUCAGAGAGUGGAACAGAGCUGUGGCAAGACAUUUUGGAGGCUGGCAUCAACCGAGGGAAGGAUUAGGUAGAUGUACUGGGGGCCAUGUGCUUUGCCACAUCACAAAGAAAACCACAGGACUUCAGAUCAGAGGAGCUGCCAGAUGUCCUUGCCUGGCAGAACACCACGCAAGGGUCACAGCUCAGGCUGCCAGACCAAGCUGUCUGCCUCAGCAAAGCAGGAUGGGGAUAUCACCUGUUUCCAGAAAAGGGGCCGCAGAAGAAAGAAGCUUGGUGCAAGCACAAAGCAAGAUCUGGGGACUGAUUUCUCGCAGUGUUUGUGUAUUUUUUUCCCCUUUGGUUACUGCACUAGCUACCAGGAUUCCUUAAGGUCAGAGCUGCCUGUUUGUACUUAGGCUGAACAUUAUCUUGUUUCCUGACAACGCGCAUUUUGCAAUUUCAAGUCCAGAAUUGAGACUUUCAGGACUGUGCCUGGUUGGGGAAAUGUGCUGUUUGUGUAUGCUUCACAUUGUUCUUACGUACGCCGUUUUGUUACAGCGGUAAAAGA